UACGUAGGGGGCAAGCGUUGUCCGGAUUUAUUGGGCGUAAAGAGCUCGUAGGCGGUCUGUCGCGUCGGAUGUGAAAACCCAGGGCUCAACCCUGGGCCUGCAUUCGAUACGGGCAGACUAGAGUUCGGUAGGGGAGACUGGAAUUCCUGGUGUAGCGGUGAAAUGCGCAGAUAUCAGGAGGAACACCGGUGGCGAAGGCGGGUCUCUGGGCAGUAACUGACGCUGAGGAGCGAAAGCAUGGGGAGCGAACAGG
rnacentral:rRNA from 1 species